GGAGGGGUGUCCGAGUGGUUUAAGGAGCUGGUCUUGAAAACCAGUGAUCCCGAGAGGGACCGUGGGUUCGAAUCCCACCCCCUCCGCCA
rnacentral:tRNA from 1 species